rnacentral:rRNA from 1 species
UAGCAAAUCUCUUAAAGCCGUUCUCAGUUCGGAUUGUAGGCUGCAACUCGCCUACAUGAAGUCGGAAUCGCUAGUAAUCGCGGAUCAGCAUGCCGCGGUGAAUACGUUCCCGGGCCUUGUACACACCGCCCGUCACACCAUGAGAGUUUGUAACACCCAAAGCCGGUGGGGUAACCUUUGGAGCCAGCCGUCUAAGGUGGGACAGAUGAUUGGGGUGAAGUCGUAACAAGGUAUC